GGAAACCAAUGCGGGGCAACCCGGAUCAUGGUGAUUCAUAAUAAUUUUCGGAUCGAUCGCAAGAUCGAUGCAUCAUUCAAGUUUCUGCCCUAUCAGCUUUGGAUGGUAGGGUAUUGGCCUACCAUGGCAUUAACGGGUAACGGAGAAUUAGGGUUCGAUUCCGGAGAGGGAGCCUGAGAAAUGGCUACCACAUCUAAGGUAGGCAGCAGGCGCGUAAAUUACCCAAUCCUGACACAGGGAGGUAGUGACAAUAAAUAACAAUGCCGGGCCUUCGGGUCUGGCAAUUGGAAUGAGAACAAUUUAAAUCCCUUAUCGAGGAUCAAUUGGAGGGCAAGUCUGGUGCCAGCAGCCGCGGUAAUUCCAGCUCCAAUAGCGUAUACUAAAGUUGUUGCAGUUAAAAAGCUCGUAGUUGAAUUUCUGGCUUCGGAACACGGUCGACCCCUAGGGGCCUGUACCUGUGGAUCGGAGCCAUCCUCGGGGAGAACAUGUCUGCUACUAAGUUAGUGGGCAUGGGACCCUCGUCAUUUACUGUGAGCAAAAUAG
rnacentral:rRNA from 1 species